GAUGAACGCUGGCGGCGUGCUUAACACAUGCAAGUCGAACGAUGAUGCCCAGCUUGCUGGGUGGAUUAGUGGCGAACGGGUGAGUAACACGUGAGUAACCUGCCCUUGACUCUGGGAUAAGCCUGGGAAACUGGGUCUAAUACCGGAUACGACCAUCUGGCGCAUGUCAUGGUGGUGGAAAGCUUUUGUGGUUUUGGAUGGACUCGCGGCCUAUCAGCUUGUUGGUGGGGUAAUGGCCUACCAAGGCGACGACGGGUAGCCGGCCUGAGAGGGUGACCGGCCACACUGGGACUGGGACACGGCCCAGACUCCUACGGGAGGCAGCAGUGGGGAAUAUUGCACAAUGGGCGCAAGCCUGAUGCAGCGACGCCGCGUGAGGGAUGACGGCCUUCGGGUUGUAAACCUCUUUCAGUAGGGAAGAAGCGAAAGUGACGGUACCUGCAGAAGAAGCGCCGGCUAACUACGUG
rnacentral:rRNA from 1 species